AACGCACCUUGCGCUCGCUGGUAUUCCGGCGAGCAUGCCUGUUUGAGUGUCAUGAACUCUUCAACCCUUCGGUUCCUUGUUGAACUGUGAGGAGUUUGGAUUUUGAAUGUUGCUGACUUUCUUUUGAAAGUGAAGCUCGUUCGUAAUACAUUAGCAUCUCGAAUUUCGAAUCAUUUCGGAUUGACUCGGCGUAAUAGACUUUUAUUCGCUGAGGACAUCUUUCUUAAUCCUUUACGGGAGAAAGAGGAUGGCCGAAUAUCGAAGUAGAAGCUUCUAACUCUAUUUUGAGAAGUCAAAUUCACUAUAAGAUUAGACCUCAGAUCAGGCAGGACUACCCGCUGAACUUAA
rnacentral:misc_RNA from 1 species